AAAUUGCGAUAAGUCAUGUAAAUUGCAAAACGUGAAUCAUUGAAUUUUUGAACGCAAAAUGCACUCUCUGGUAAUAUGAGAGUAUGCCUGUUUGAGUGUCAG
rnacentral:rRNA from 2 species